CGGACGGGUGAGUAACACGUGGAUAACCUACCUAUAAGACUGGGAUAACUUCGGGAAACCGGAGCUAAUACCGGAUAAUAUAUUGAACCGCAUGGUUCAAUAGUGAAAGACGGUUUUGCUGUCACUUAUAGAUGGAUCCGCGCCGCAUUAGCUAGUUGGUAAGGUAACGGCUUACCAAGGCAGCGAUGCGUAGCCGACCUGAGAGGGUGAUCGGCCACGCUGGAACUGAGACACGGUCCAGACUCCUACGGGAGGCAGCAGUC
rnacentral:rRNA from 1 species